UACGGAGGAUCCAAGCGUUAUCCGGAAUCAUUGGGUUUAAAGGGUCCGUAGGCGGUUUUGUAAGUCAGUGGUGAAAGCCCAUCGCUCAACGGUGGAACGGCCAUUGAUACUGCAAGACUUGAAUUAUUGGGAAGCAACUAGAAUAUGUAGUGUAGCGGUGAAAUGCUUGGAGAUUACAUGGAAUACCAAUUGCGAAGGCAGGUUGCUACCAAUACAUCGACGCUGAUGGACGAAAGCGUGGGGAGCGAACAGG
rnacentral:rRNA from 1 species